GAGUUUUGCUCAGUUGAGCUUUCAUAACUGAAAUAGAAGUGCGCAUUAAUCCUGUUGUCUGUGGAGUGUAGAGAUGAAUUUGUAAGAAGGAAAAAAAAGAGGAACUGGAAAGCUUAUUAGCAUCAAGGACAACCUGAAUGGAACCAAAUAUAGAUAAGUCCUUUUGGAGAGUUUGUUUCAGUCAACUAGAAAUCUGCAGGGCAAUGGCCUAAAGGAAACCGCAAACAUAUUGAAAAAUGUGGCAAAGAAAAUGAUAUGGACGGCUAGGGCUACUGUCAUACUGUGCCAUUCUGUCUGCUGGGUUUUCUCACUGCCAUGAUGUCUGUUACCCCACACAAAAUGCCAUUUUGUUUUUCUCUCUCCCACACUGUUCAGUUAAAUGGCCUUUCUUCAGAGUGAUUAUUAUUACUUUAUAGCAUUCUUGUGACUCAUUUAACCUCUUCUCCAGGGCCUUUACAUGUAUUAAUGGAUUACAUAUGGGCUGCUCUUCUUGGUCUGCUGCCACCAUGACCUGGUCCCAGAAAAGCAGAAGAUGGAUGUUUAAGUCUGCAGCUCAAGUCUUAUUCUCUAGUUGACACUGUUUCUCCAGACCCAUUUUAACUCCUCUCUAUUUUUACUAUGGUUUUUAUCUUUACUAUGGAUUAAAGAGAAACAAUUUUUUUUCUCCCCUGUAAUCCUUAAAUCCAUUCAUCAUCUAACCCUACUGGUCCUAUGUAGGGUCUCUGGUCUGUCUCAGCAGGUCAGGCCAUAGGCUGUAGUCACUAUGACUAUUUAAAAUGGAAGUUCUGUGCGUAGCUUCCCCUCACCACAUUCAUCAUGGUU